rnacentral:rRNA from 1 species
UACGUAGGCAGCGAGCGUUGUUCGGAGUUACUGGGCGUAAAGAGUGUGUAGGCGGUGUCGUAAGUUCGGUGUGAAAUCUCCCGGCUUAACUGGGAGGGUGCGCCGGAAACUGCGAGGCUUGAGUGCGGGAGAGGGAAGCGGAAUUCCUGGUGUAGCGGUGAAAUGCGUAGAUAUCAGGAGGAACACCUGCGGUGUAGACGGCUUCCUGGACCGUUACUGACGCUGAGACACGAAAGCGUGGGGAGCAAACAGG